UACGGGGGGGGCAAGCGUUGUUCGGAAUUACUGGGCGUAAAGGGCUCGUAGGCGGCCAACUAAGUCAGACGUGAAAUCCCUCGGCUUAACCGGGGAACUGCGUCUGAUACUGGUUGUCUUGAGCCACUUAGGGGCAGUCGGAACAGACGGUGGAGCGGUGAAAUGCGUAGAUAUCGUCUGGAACGCCAAAGGUGAAAACAGACUGCUGGGAGUGUGCUGACGCUGAGACACGAAAGCCAGGGGAGCAAACGGG
rnacentral:rRNA from 1 species